AUUAAACGCUGGCGGCAUGCCUUACACAUGCAAGUCGAACGGCAGCACGGGGGCAACCCUGGUGGCGAGUGGCGAACGGAUGAGUAAAGCAUCGGAACGUGCCCUGGAGUGGGGGGAUAACGUAGCGAAAGUUACGCUAAUACCGCAUAUUCUGUGAGCAGGAAAGCAGGGGAUCGCAAGACCUUGCGCUCUGGGAGCGGCCGAUGUCGGAUUAGCUAGUUGGUGGGGUAAAGGCCUACCAAGGCGACGAUCCGUAGCGGGUCUGAGAGGAUGAUCCGCCACACUGGGACUGAGACACGGCCCAGACUCCUACGGGAGGCAGCAGUGGGGAAUUUUGGACAAUGGGCGAAAGCCUGAUCCAGCCAUGCCGCGUGAGUGAAGAAGGCCUC
rnacentral:rRNA from 1 species